rnacentral:lncRNA from 1 species
AGAGAUUGAUACCAUUUCCAAGUUUGUACCUUCAAGGAGUCAUUAGUUACACGGUUUUCUAAUUGUUUAGGUUUGGCAUAUUAUGGUAAAAAAGCAUGUUUUCCGCUGCAAACAGUACUUUUCUCUCUUUUUCCGAUGACGCCCCAGCCGUAGAACAUAGACGUACAGUCUAUGUGGGAGAACACAUUUGUUGACGUACAGCGCAUGAAGAUAUAUCGUUUUAAAGCUGAAGAAACUAUCUAGAUUUCAUAGAUUUGACAUUUUGCUGCACUUUCCUGCACAAAAAAGUUAUAAUGGAAAGAAAUUUGAAAACUAUAUUCGGGAAAGGAGCAACUUUUUGCUGUGCCUGUUGUUCUCAAUAGUAAAAUUUUUGCAUCAUCAAGUGAAUUUGAGUGGUCACAUGAUCCACCAUCAGUGCCAUGUUAAGAAGGUUUAAUUAGUUUCAACAUAUUUGAUCGCAUUCUGUUGUUUUAUAGCAAUUAAAUCCUUUUUGGAUUGUCCAAGUUGAAAAUUUUAGCAAACUUGAUUUUGUUAUAAUAACGGGAGGAACUAAUGAUAUCAUGUGGAAUAUGAAUGAAAUCGAUUUAAACGCUCAUCUACAUCAAUUGAAUAAACUCAUUCCACUUUCAGAGAGAACAAACAUAAUCAUAGGCAAUAUUCCGUAUCGAUACGAUAGCACGUUUAACAUUAACAAUGAAGUGUAAAAGAGUACGGAAUUUCACCCGAGAUCGAUUCAUUUUCAUCUCUCUUGGAAUUUGCAAUUGUUUUUCAGUGAUUCUUACUUGUGCUGACAAAUUUACUGAUUCUACAUAAAUAUUCUAUAUUCAAAAGCUAUACUUCAUGUCAUUAAUAUUUCAAUGAACAUUGCAGUUCAUAGACCAUCUAUUACUUCAAUAAUACUGUAUUUAUUUUUUUUAUUUAAAAAAAAAUUAUAAUACAACAUGUUUUUGAACUAUUCUAAAUUUUAUUCCAGGAAGAUGUGAGAGAAUGAAAGAAUGGUGUUUGCACUGCAUUUGGUUUGGCAAACCUUCCAAAACCUUAUAGAAGGAUUAAUUUGGCGGUGCAAUCCAUUAAGAAGGCACUGGAAUUAUACCCGAAUUUUCUUAACCAUUAUGUUGGUGUGAUCUACUAUCGCUAUAUGAAGGAGCUGUACGAGAAAACAAAAACUGCUAGUAACGCGGAAAUAAUACAAGCGAUAAAGAACUGGCUGCGCACUGCGCCACAGCGAGCAAAUUCGAAAAUAGCAUGAAGGAAUGUUGCUCCAGAGCUAACAGAAGGAGGCACCGGGGACGUCUGAAAUUGAGUGGAAUUUUUAUCAUUUGGGAAUUUUUUUAAUCAUCCUCUAUUAUAUGAUUAACUGUACUCAUGUAUUGCUUAAAUUUAUUCAAUAUUUUCAACUUGUGAAUCGAUUGUUCUGUUAGUUUGUAUUUUUUACAAUACACUAUUGUAACUUAUAUGAAAGACACAGUAUGUAACUCAUGUUUAUAAACAAUCAUGUUUCUCAAGAAUUGAACAUUUAUGUUUUUAGGAAUGAAAUUGAUACUGACAAAAUAAACUGUGUUAUUAUUUAGUUUGAUAUUUUGACCACAUUUCUGAAUUUCUUUGAAUGUCCUCUAAAAAAUGUGGAUAUCUUUCAGAUAUCUAGAGGAUACCUAUGGAUAUCCCAUCAAUAUCCAAACAUGCUCAUAGAUCCAAAUUUGGUCAAACAAAAUUUACAUCCAAAUUUGUCAAACAUUUUUAUGUAAAUAUAUUAUUUCAUGGAUAUCCAUUAGUGUAUAUGUGGUUUUUGUGUGGACUUUUUUAUAUGUCCAAAUGGUCAUUUUUUGAUAUUGUAUGGAUAUCCAAGAGCUAUUUUGUGCUUGUCUGACGGUUCUUAAGGAUAAGUGGAUAUUGAAACCAAUAAA